rnacentral:lncRNA from 1 species
AUGAUUGUGUUUGCCGUGCUCCUGUCGUUGGUGGCGGGUGUUUGAGGGAACGAGUUUAGUUCUUGGUCUGUUAUUUUCAGAAAUGGAAAUUGGCCUAUACCGGGAGAGUGAAUCCCAGACGUGGCUGCAUUGUCCAUGGCCUUCUCUGUGAAGGAAAACCUUUCUUGGCCAGGACUUGCAGUAGGUGACCUAUUUCAUCGUCCUCGGGCUACCGUCAUGGUGAUGGUGAAGGGAGUGGACAAACUGGCUCUACCACCAGGCAGUGUCAUUUCAUACCCUUUGGAGAAUGCAGUUCCGUUUGGUCUUGGCAGUGUUGCAAAUUCCAUUCGCUCUUUAUUUUCUGACGAAACUCCUGUUGUUUUGCAGUUGGCUCCUAGUGAGGAAAGAGUGUAUUUGGUAGGGAAGGCAAACUCAGUGUUUGAAGACCUUUCAGUCACCUUAGGACAGCUCCAUAAUUACUUGUUUCAGGAAAACUCCAUUCUCAGUUCAUUUCCCCUGAAUUCUCUGAGUAGGAACAAUGGAGUUGACUUGCUCUUUCUUUCUGAACUCCAAGUGCUACAUGAUAUUUCAAGCUUGGUGUCUUGUCAUAAGCAUCUAGCCAAGGAUCAUUCUCCUGAUUUAUAUUCACUGGAGCUGGCAGGUUUGGAUGAAAUUGGGAAGCAUUACAGGGAAGACUCUGAACAAUUCAUAGUUGCUUCUAAAAUCCUGUUGACGCUCUGCAAGAGUUUGCAGAUAACAUGUACAAUCUUUACAGUGGGAAUGCAGUGGUAGAGUUAGUCACUAUUAAGUCAUUUGACACCUCCCUUAUGAGGAAGACAAGGACUAUCUUUGAGGCAAAAUAAGUGAAGAACCCAGCAAGUCCCUAUAACCUUGCGUAUAAUUUUGAAUAUUCAGUGAUUUUCAACAUGAUACUUUGGAUAAUGAUUGCCUUGGCCCUGGCUGUGAUUAUCACUUCUUACAAUAUUUGGAACAUGGAUCCUGGAUAUGAUAGCAUCAUUUAUAGGAUUACAAACCAGAAGAUUCGAAUAGAUUGA